rnacentral:rRNA from 1 species
UUGCAGGGUAUAGACCCGAAACCCGGUGAUCUAGCCAUGGGCAGGUUGAAGGUUGGGUAACACUAACUGGAGGACCGAACCGACUAAUGUUGAAAAAUUAGCGGAUGACCUGUGGCUGGGGGUGAAAGGCCAAUCAAACCGGGAGAUAGCUGGUUCUCCCCGAAAGCUAUUUAGGUAGCGCCUCGUGAAUUCAUCUCCGGGGGUAGAGCACUGUUUCGGCUAGGGGGCCAUCCCGGCUUACCAACCCGAUGCAAACUGCGAAUACCGGAGAAUGUUAUCACGGGAGACACACGGCGGGUGCUAACGUCCGUCGUGAAGAGGGAAACAACCCAGACCGCCAGCUAAGGUCCCAAAGUCAUGGUUAAGUGGGAAACGAUGUGGGAAGGCCCAGACAGCCAGGAUGUUGGCUUAGAAGCAGCCAUCAUUUAAAGAAAGCGUAAUAGCUCACUGGUCGAGUCGGCCUGCGCGGAAGAUGUAACGGGGCUAAACCAUGCACCGAAGCUGCGGCAGCGACACUGUGUGUUGUUGGGUAGGGGAGCGUUCUGUAAGCCU